UCUUCAUGGCAAGACCUUGCUCCAAUCCAAGGACUUUCAGGUGGGGUUUGCUGUCCGGCUGCUAACCUUUGUUUGCUACUUCAAGCCGUGGAUUAUCAUGGUCACCAGCAGGAUAGUGACUGAUGCUGAGCGGGUGCCCUGAAACCUCUGAGGGUUGAGCUAGAGCUGAAGGACCAGAAAAAGGGAAAGGUUGUGCAGCAGCUGAGUUUUAAUGGCAAUUUUUGAAAUAUUUGAGUUUUUUGCAUGUUUUAUUUUUUCUUCUAAGUAUGGAUAUGACCAAUAGCCUUGUCAGUAGAAUGAAAAAAUUGGAUGUCUCUUGGUCACACCUAGUGGUGAGUUCCUGCCCAGAUAUCUUGGCAUUAUAUAUGUUAUUUCAGCUAAUUUUCAGAGGUGAAAAUAAAAAGGAAUCCAAAUCAUGAAUAGAAGUACAGAGAUACAGUUUUAACUGAACAUCAGUCCAAUCCUAUCUUAAGUAGUCCAUCUUUUCAAUAAAGUAUUUUUCAUUCUA